rnacentral:sRNA from 1 species
UUGUCAUCCCUGGAGAUUGCUGUCCUCUAUUUAUUCCCCAAGCAGAUACAGCAUGGGCAGCACCUCUCAACAUUUUUUCCAUAGAACCUCCAGCUUGAGCCAGAGGAACCCCACCUGGGCGUGACAACUUAAUUCAUUCUCCAUGCCCAAUAGAUCCUUCACAAGA